CCCUAGCAUGAGAACCUUGUCUCUAUAACUUAGGCCAUGCUUAACAAUAAUACAAUGGAACAUGACACUAGAAAACACCACGAAGUAGAAGAAAUAAAGGAGAAGAGAACUUUUAUUAAAUAAUCUCUCACUAGAUUACAACAGAAGCUCUCCUGGUCCUUCGAUCUCUCAUAGAUACAAGAGGAUCCCUAGAUGAUCUCUCCCUUGAUGAUCUCUCUAACCCCAUCCUUGAGGGUCCUUGUACAGCAAAGCAACCCCAAGUUACAAAGUCCCUCACAAACUCAAACUCUUCAUGUAUAAGAUAAGGAUAAAUCCUAGACACGUGCAGAAUCCCCACUCUCGUAGGACUCUGUGCAGUCAAAUAAAACUACCCCUCAAAGUUGCACACGUAAAUAGAUUGACUCUGGG
rnacentral:lncRNA from 1 species